rnacentral:rRNA from 1 species
UACGUAGGGGGCUAGCGUUGUCCGGAAUCAUUGGGCGUAAAGCGCGCGUAGGCGGCCCGGUAAGUCCGCUGUGAAAGUCCAGGGCUCAACCCUGGAAAGCCGGUGGGAUACUGCCCGGGCUAGAGUCCGGAAGAGGCGAGUGGAAUUCCUGGUGUAGCGGUGGAAUGCGCAGAUAUCAGGAGGAACACCGAUGGCGAAGGCAGCUCGCUGGGACGGUAACUG